UGUGGACGCCACUGCUUAAGCUCAAGGAAGCAUAGGUUAUUACAAUAACAGGCGAGUGGAAGACGCUGAGUGGCAGCGUGCAGGUUUCUGCUCCAGGAUUUUUGUUUGACAGUGACAGCAUCUAUUUUUACAUUUUCAGCAUAGAGACAUUACACUGAUAAUCACUGGAAUGAUGGGAGUUCCUGCAUCCUGUGUGGUGGUGCUAACAUUCAUUCUUUACAGCCACAGUUUGAAAAUACAAAGUACUCUGCAUGUGUCUAAAAGUUCUCAGGAAAAUGUUCUGAAUCCCAGUAAAUGUGUGUCCAGGACUAAUCAGCAGCAGAUAAUAGCAAAUCCAUACAACUUCUCUGUGGAUCUUCGCAUGCCUGGUGUUAUCCCAACUGGGGUAAGUGUGUUUCCACUCAAUGUUGGUGUGUGUCUAUCAGUAGGGAUGUGCAAUAUGACCAAAAUCACAUAUCCCGAUAUAAAACAUCUAUCGUCCCGAUAACGAUAUAAAUCACAAAAAUAUAAAAUUUUCUGUAUAUUCUGUGAAUCUCGGGCAGCUCGACUUGCGUGAAGUGUUUCCAGCUGGGCGUCUUGUACCUGGAGUCUAAUGUUUUAACCGAUACAUGAAACUACACCUUCUCAAACAUAAGUUGUAAUGGCCGCCGUUUUCUUUGUGAGUAUUUAUUACACGGCGUGCUGCAGGGAAAAGCCUGUUCUAACAUUUGACUCUAAGGUUUAUUUUUUAGCACCUGGCGGCUCUUUUUUGCGUCUCAUCUGUAAACACUCUUCAUACUCUUUCACGUGAUUCAGUUUAUUUUGAAAAGUCUCAACAGGAUCUUGAGCUUUAUUGUGAAAGGUUUAUGUGGAAAAUAAACAAGCGGACAUGCGGUGGUUUUACGGUCGUUGUUGCUAACUUGUUGUGCUUGUCCGUCCAUAGUGUGGUUAUAUUAAAUAUAAGAGAAAGAAAGAACUUUAAGAAAUUAAUAUAGCCACUACAGUGACCAUCAAAACGAUGAAAAAAUAUUGCCGUGAACAGUUUAUUUUGCGACACCAUGAAGCAAACGAUAGCGUAAAAUGAAACGAUAGUUGUUUUUAUAUCGUCAUCCAAUAUAUAUCGUUAUAUCGAACAGCCCUAUCUAUCAGUUGUUUGUUUCAGAAGUUUAUGCGCACUUAUCAAGGGUAUGAAUGCCAUGGUAAUUUGGGGCUUAUAAUUAGUUGUUUGACCUGUUCUUUUAAAUAAAGUAGAAUGAUUGUAUAGCUUAUAUAGUUAAUGACUUUAAAAUAAAAGAAUUUAGUGCACAAGUUUAAUUUUUAAAACAUGAUUUUUCUUUGUCCACACAUUUAAUACAUGCAGGCUCAAAUAUAUUUAUAUAUACGCCCAGUAAUAUUCAGUGUCCUUAAACAAGUUGUAGGUUAACCAAAUGCUUUUGGUAGCCAUUAACAAGUUUCUGGCACAACUCUGGAUGGAUACAUGAUCACCUUUCUGCUUUUGUGACCUUUGCCAGCAC
ensembl:lncRNA